ensembl:antisense A730011C13Rik RIKEN cDNA A730011C13 gene
ACAUGCACAUCAUCCUAGCCUUGGGAGGUGAAGGCAGGGGGAUCAAGGGUACAAGCCCAUCUUUGACCAUAACUGAUUCAAGGCCAGCCUGAAUUACAAAAUCCUAACUGAAAUCACACCCAUCAAAAAAUGACAUCCAGUGAUGAGAACAGGGCAGAUGCAGUUCCAGAAACAACCAACAGAGGUCCCCAUAGAGCUGUUCUUCUCUGGAGAAAGGCAAACCAGUUUCAUUUUCAUCUUCCCAUUCAGACCUGGGUAGGAAGCAGGUGCCCAGCAGAGCUCCCUGGAGUUGCACUGAGCCUUUCCUUUCAACACCCCUUUCUCUGUGUGUUUCGUUUUUUUUUUUCUUUGCUGCUCUGUGCUUCCAUUUCUUUACCUGCAGUUGUUUCAACACCUGGAAAGCCAGCAGCUCCUGGCGAAGGUCAUCUCCACACUUGACAAUGACUGAAAGGAGUCGCCAAUUGGGAAGAUGGCCAUACGGGGAACCUUCUCUGAUCCUCCUGUGAAGAAAAAAGUCACAGGAUGAUGCCAGGUAGCUCAAGCAAUGUCUCAGCUGCACCUUCAGGGCCUCAAGGACUGAGCAAGGACAGAAUAAGGAGAUAAAGGAGAGGGACAUAAAGCUGACAGCUGGUAACCAGACACAGGACAAAGAGGCAGAACGAAGAAGAUGGAGAUGAAGGACGAGGUGAUUGGGCCAUACCGGAUGUCCCCUGCUGCAAUGAACACAGGCUCCUUGCUCUCCUGGCUGGUGAUGCUGUCCACCGAGAACUGGGAGAUGUUGUCACAGCUGUUGGUGUGCACUUCAGGGAGCUGGGAAGAGCAGGUCAGAAAUGCUAAACACAGAUCUCCCUCUUGCUCUCUGCUCACUUGCCACUAACUAACUACCUAUGGCAUGGUGGCCUACCACUCCACUCCAGCCUUCUCCCAAAGCCACCAUGGUUCCAUAUCACUGAGGCCUUGAGCCAUAGAUCCCACAGCAGUGUUCUCAAAGUGUGAACUCAUAGAAUUCAUGGAAAAGCAUAGGAAGUGCAGAUUCUCAGUUCUGACCAUCAGCCCAAAUUAGAACUACUGGGAAUGAAAUCUAGAAGCUGCAUUUUUGUGAACUUUCUAGAAUAUUCCCAACACUCUCUAAGAAUGGUCUCAAACUCCUCCUUUCCCAGCCUCCAUGUCAGUGCAGGGACUACAGGUGGAUCACCAUACCCAGACAAUUUCUUCUGGCUAAAUCUCCACCUAAUCUCCUCACUCUUAUCUAUAAAAUAUUCUGCCAGGCCCCAAGAAGUCUCUGUCCUUCCUUUUACAAAGUACUCUCAAUUAUACCUGCCAUCUAAUACAUACAGUAACUCGUGUAUCUUCAUUUUUCUUCUUCCAGCCCCACAGUGCGGCUUGAGUUUAUUUUCAUAGCUAACAGGGCUGAGUGAGUGCACUGCUUGUCGGGGCCAUGCCAGCCUCUCUAGCCUCACUCACUCAUUACCUCACACUACGCAUCAGCACAUAUUAGUUUUUUUUCAUUCCUAUCAUGGCCAUGUUGCAUUUUCUCUUCCUCAGUCUGAAUGGUCUGAAUGUUCUUUGUUCUGCUAAUUAAACCAUGCUUCCAGCCUCAGCAG